GAACAGCAUGAACUAGUUGGCUCUAGCAGAAAUACAACAGCUACAGGGGUACCUUCUGGGAUCAGUGAGGUUAUGAUUGAUAAAGCCAACAGGAAAUCUACUAUAGUUAUUCUGGAUGCUGGUAGAAGAGGUCAACAUGUGGAUCCAGGACCUUCUUGGAGUAAUGCUUCUCUUACCUCAUGAUUAUUGUUACUUGGAACAUAA
rnacentral:lncRNA from 1 species